rnacentral:rRNA from 1 species
GGUAUGCUUAGGGAGGAGCUUGCGUCACAUUAGUUAGUUGGUGGGGUAAAGGCCUACCAAGACUAUGAUGUGUAGCCGGGCUGAGAGGUUGAACGGCCACAUUGGGACUGAGACACGGCCCAAACUCCUACGGGAGGCAGCAGUAGGGAAUUUUCGGCAAUGGAGGAAACUCUGACCGAGCAACGCCGCGUGAACGAUGAAGUAUUUCGGUACGUAAAGUUCUUUUAUUAGGGAAGAAUAAAUGAUGGAAAAAUCAUUCUGACGGUACCUAAUGAAUAAGCCCCGGCUAACUAUGUGCCAGCAGCCGCGGUAAUACAUAGGGGGCAAGCGUUAUCCGGAAUUAUUGGGCGUAAAGGGUGCGUAGGCGGUUAAAUAAGUUUAUGGUCUAAGUGCAAUGCUCAACAUUGUGAUGCUAUAAAAACUGUUUAGCUAGAGUAAGAUAGAGGCAAGUGGAAUUCCAUGUGUAGUGGUAAAAUGCGUAAAUAUAUGGAGGAACACCAGUAGCGAAGGCGGCUUGCUGGGUCUUUACUGACGCUGAGGCACGAAAGCGUGGGGAGCAAACAGGAUUAGAUACCCUGGUAGUCCACGCCGUAAACGAUGAGUACUAAACGUUGGGUAAAACCAGUGUUGAAGUUAACACAUUAAGUACUCCGCCUGAGUAGUACGUACGCAAGUAUGAAACUUAAAGGAAUUGACGGGACUCCGCACAAGCGGUGGAUCAUGUUGUUUAAUUCGAAGGUACCCGAAAAACCUCACCAGGUCUUGACAUGCUUCUGCAAAACUGUAGAAACACAGUGGAGGUUAUCAGUUGCACAGGUGGUGCAUGGUUGUCGUCAGCUCGUGUCGUGAGAUGUUGGGUUAAGUCCCGCAACGAGCGCAACCCUUAUUGUUAGUUACCAGCACGUAAUGGNGGGGACUUUA